UACGUAGGGUGCAAGCGUUAAUCGGAAUUCCUGGGCGUAACGCGUGCGCAGGCGGUUUUGUAAGUCAGAUGUGAAAUCCCCGGGCUUAACCUGGGAACUGCGUUUGAAACUACAAGGCUAGAGUGUGACAGAGGGGGGUGGAAUUCCACGUGUAGCAGUGAAAUGCGUAGAGAUGUGGAGGAACACCGAUGGCGAAGGCAGCCCCCUGGGUUAACACUGACGCUCAGGCACGAAAGCGUGGGGAGCAAACAGG
rnacentral:rRNA from 1 species